CUCAGCAAUCAGAACAGCAGAACUAGCAUAAACCAGCUUCAGCUGCUUGAUGUUAAUGCCUGAAGGGAAGUGAGAUGCACAGCGCGUAUGCAUGCAGAACUGGUGGCAGUGAAUACAGCACAAGUCAAAACUUCAUACUACUGAGCUGAAAACUGUUAACGACGACAAAGUAAUUUCCCACAGUUCAGGACUCAGUUGCUUGGAUGACUUACACCGUUUUAUCAUUCUGGCUGUAGAAUGUGUAGGCAGACUUUCAGAGGUGCAAAGCACAGAGGCACUGUAUGCUGAGAUGGUUCAAUACAAGCAAAGACUGAUUCUAAAUACAGAGAAAAAAUUAGAUGUUGAGGUAUGUGUUCAAGCUACUUUUCUGCUGUAGAGCUCAAGAAGACUAUUUUGUUUUCUUCAGUGCAAUGGAAUAGUUUGGUACAGAGGUGAUAUUUUCCAGCAACAGAAGGGCAAAAUUUACCAGACUCACUGUAGUACUGGAUCUUCUUUUACCAUAAAGACACUUCUGUUCACAUUGAAAAGUGUUACUGCCUGUAUGAGUAAGUGGCCCAAAUACAGACCUUGUGGAAGCCUUAGAAGCAUGUAAGCCAUAAUUUGCAAAAUGGUGAAAAAGGAGCAUAAGAAAUGUCCUACUUCGAUGCAUGACACACUAGUAUGGUCAUAUGUGGAAACAGGCUGGAUUUUGGCUGAGAGUUUGAGAAGCACUAGCCAUGAAAAUAUGGACUUUUCUAAGAAGUGGCCCAAAUAUGAAGUACUCUAAGGUAUUCUUUUAAACACUACAAGCUCCUUGGGGCAUUAACACUGAUUAGCAAUGAGGUCAAUAAAUUAUUGCAACU
rnacentral:lncRNA from 7 species